GACGAACGCUGGCGGCGUGCUUAACACAUGCAAGUCGAACGGAAAGGCCCUGCUUUUGUGGGGUGCUCGAGUGGCGAACGGGUGAGUAACACGUGAGUAACCUGCCCUUGACUUUGGGAUAACUUCAGGAAACUGGGGCUAAUACCGGGUAGGAGCUCCUGCUGCAUGGUGGGGGUUGGAAAGUUUCGGCGGUUGGGGAUGGACUCGCGGCUUAUCAGCUUGUUGGUGGGGUAGUGGCUUACCAAGGCUUUGACGGGUAGCCGGCCUGAGAGGGUGACCGGCCACAUGGGGACUGAGAGACGGCGCAGAAGCCUACGGGAGGCAGCAGUGGGGAAUAUUGCACAAUGGGCGGACGCCUGAUGCAGCAACGCCGCGUGCGGGAUGACGGCCUUCGGGUUGUAAACAGAUUUCGCCUGUGACGAAGCGUGAGUGACGGUAAUGGGUAAAGAAGCACCGGCUAACUACGUG
rnacentral:rRNA from 1 species